CCUACGGGCGGCAGCAGUGGGGAAUAUUGGACAAUGGGCGAAAGCCUGAUCCAGCCAUGCCGCGUGUGUGAAGAAGGCCUUCGGGUUGUAAAGCACUUUCAGUGGGGAAGAAAGCCUUGGGGCUAAUACCCUCGAGGAAGGACAUCACCCACAGAAGAAGCACCGGCUAACUCCGUGCCAGCAGCCGCGGUAAUACGGAGGGUGCUAGCGUUAAUCGGAAUUACUGGGCGUAAAGCGCGCGUAGGCGGUCUGAUAAGCCGGUUGUGAAAGCCCCGGGCUCAACCUGGGAACGGCAUCCGGAACUGUCAGGCUAGAGUGCAGGAGAGGAAGGUAGAAUUCCCGGUGUAGCGGUGAAAUGCGUAGAGAUCGGGAGGAAUACCAGUGGCGAAGGCGGCCUUCUGGACUGACACUGACGCUGAGGUGCGAAAGCGUGGGUAGCAAACAGGAUUAGAUACCCCAGUAGUC
rnacentral:rRNA from 1 species